rnacentral:rRNA from 1 species
UGGGGAAUCUUCCGCAAUGGACGAAAGUCUGACGGAGCAACGCCGCGUGAGUGAAGAAGGUUUUCGGAUCGUAAAACUCUGUCUUUUGGGGCGAACGUGAGUAUGGUGAACAAUCAUAGUCAGUGACGGUACCAAAGGAGGAAGCCACGGCUAACUACGUGCCAGCAGCCGCGGUAAUACGUAGGUGGCAAGCGUUGUCCGGAAUUAUUGGGCGUAAAGAGCGCGUAGGCGGGAUAGUCAGUCUGUUGUAAAGUGCGGGGCUCAACCCCGUGAUGGCAAUGGAAACAGCUAUUCUUGAGUGCAGGAGAGGAAAGGUGGAAUUCCCAGUGUAGCGGUGAAAUGCGUAGAUAUUGGGAGGAACACCAGUGGCGAAGGCGACUUUCUGGACUGUGUCUGACGCUGAGGCGCGAAAGCCAGGGGAGCGAACGGGAUUAGAUACCCCCGGUAGUCCUGGCCGUAAACGAUGGGUACUAGGUGUGGGAGGUAUCGACCCCCUUCCGUGCCGGAGUUAACGCAAUAAGUACCCCGCUGGGAAGUACGAUCGCAACGAUUAAACUUAAAUUGAAUUUGACGGGGGUCAUAGCUGUUUCCUG